rnacentral:rRNA from 1 species
UAGUCCACGCCGUAAACGAUGUCUACUAGCCGUUGGUUUCCUUGAGGAAGCAGUGGCGCAGCUAACGCGAUAAGUAGACCGCCUGGGGAGUACGGCCGCAAGGUUAAAACUCAAAUGAAUUGACGGGGGCCCGCACAAGCGGUGGAGCAUGUGGUUUAAUUCGAUGCAACGCGAAGAACCUUACCAGGUCUUGACAUCCUGAGAACUUUCUAGAGAUAGAUUGGUGCCUUCGGGAGCUCAGUGACAGGUGCUGCAUGGCUGUCGUCAGCUCGUGUCGUGAGAUGUUGGGUUAAGUCCCGUAACGAGCGCAACCCUUGUCCUUAGUUGCUAGCAGGUUAANCUGAGAACUCUAAGGAGACUGCCGGUGACAAACCGGAGGAAGGGUGGGGACGACGUCAAGUCAUCAUGGCCCUUACGACCUGGGGCUACACACGUGCUACAAUGGGGCAGUACAAAGGGGUCGCUAAGCCGCGAGGGUGGGAGCAAAUCCUACUAAAACUGUU